rnacentral:rRNA from 1 species
AACGAACGCUGGCGGCAGGCUUAACACAUGCAAGUCGAACGCCCCGCAAGGGGAGUGGCAGACGGGUGAGUAACGCGUGGGAAUCUACCUAGUUCUACGGAACAACACAGGGAAACUUGUGCUAAUACCGUAUACGCCCUACGGGGGAAAGACUUAUCGGAAUUAGAUGAGCCCGCGUAAGAUUAGCUAGUUGGUGGGGUAAUGCCUACCAAGGCGACGAUCUUUAGCUGGUCUGAGAGGAUGAGCAGCCACACUGGGACUGAGACACGGCCCAGACUCCUACGGGAGGCAGCAGUGGGGAAUAUUGGACAAUGGGCGAAAGCCUGAUCCAGCCAUGCCGCGUGAGUGAUGAAGGCCUUAGGGUUGUAAAGCUCUUUCAGUAGGGAAGAUAAUGACGGUACCUACAGAAGAAGCCCCGGCUAACUUCGUGCCAGCCGCCGCGGUAACAC